UUCUCAGUUAAAAUCAGUUUAUUUCACAUUCAGUUUAAUGUCAAAACUACACACAUCUUUCAUUAUUCUAAGUUCAGCUAAAACAACAAACAAAAUUUUUCGAUAGGAAACGGGUUGGAAAAUACAAUAUUUGUGAUUGGGUUUGGGACUUUGUGUUGGGCCCUCCUGGUGGCAAAGGGCCUGCUGCACUGGAUGCUUCUUCGAUGUGGGCUUAGGCGUGGUCGCAGGCACUGGUACUGCCUUGACUGGAGUCUAAGCCGAAGUCGAUACCGGACCCGUAGUGACGGAGUCCUGUGCAACUGUUUCUGGUCGCUUGGGCCAGAGAACUGACAAUGGACACGACGAAAUAUCAGACCAUUUCCAUCACAAACGUCAUCACAGUGAGGCCACCAGGCCCCGAUGCUCAGUGAUAAAGAUGACGGCCUUGCUGAUCAGCUCCAAAGAAUGUACUGAAUGCCACACGGAAAUGGUCGUAGCUGAAGCUUUCCAGUUAGAAAAAGAAAUUCGGAAUGUUUGCUCAGGGCGGGAUGCCAAAGAGGCUCUCCAACACGAUGCUCUCCAACACGUGCUCCAGAAACAGCUUGAGGGUCUUCCAUAUCUUCUUGGCGUUCAAACCCUGCAUCGUCGGGAUCGUAGCCGGAGAGUCGGGCCAUGAAGUAACGCAUCAUCCGAGCCUAUGAUGUCAUCUGGAUAUGUAUGUCCAUCGAUGUCGUUGGGGCCGUACUGAAGGUCCUGCAGAGGCCACAGUGUACUUCACAUCAGCAGCAGCUGUUGUUAAGAUACAAGUACAGAAUCGACGCCUCCUUCUGACGAUGACUCUACUCGACUUCCUGAGAGUGGGUAGAUCUGUGAAACAGAAAAAUUCAAAGAGGACUCUCUCGAUUCAUAUCAUGGGAGUCAUUGCUGUGAUGCUUCUGAAUGAGCAGCAAUUUGUUGCAGGUCCCUCAGUUUCAGUUUGGUGCAGUAUGGUUGAAAACGCUGGAAGGACUGGAGCAUUAUUGUUGGACGAUGCUGUACUAGUCGUGAAUAAUUGAAUACCACGGCAAUAUUGAUAAUAUACAAUAUAUUUAGCAUACACUUU